GACGAACGCUGGCGGCGUGCCUAAUACAUGCAAGUAGAACGCACAGUUUAUACCGUAGCUUGCUACACCAUAGACUGUGAGUUGCGAACGGGUGAGUAACGCGUAGGUAACCUGCCUGGUAGCGGGGGAUAACUAUUGGAAACGAUAGCUAAUACCGCAUAAUAUUAAUUAUUGCAUGAUAAUUAAUUGAAAGGUGCAAUUGCACCACUACCAGAUGGACCUGCGUUGUAUUAGCUAGUAGGUGAGGUAACGGCUCACCUAGGCGACGAUACAUAGCCGACCUGGAAAGGUGAUCGGCCACACUGGGACUGAGACACGGCCCAGACUCCUACGGGAGGCAGCAGUAGGGAAUCUUCGGCAAUGGACGAAAGUCUGACCGAGCAACGCCGCGUGAGUGAAGAAGGGUUUCGGAUCGUAAAGCUCUGUUGUAAGAGAAGAAAGGGUGUGAGAGUGGAAAGUUCACACUGUGACGGUAUCUUACCAGAAAGGGACGGCUAACUACGUG
rnacentral:rRNA from 1 species